rnacentral:rRNA from 1 species
GGCCAGCAGCCGCGGUAAGACGGAGGGUGCUAGCGUUGUCCGGAAUUACUGGGCGUAAAGCGCUCGUAGGCGGUCGCAUACGGCGAUGGUGAAAGCUCCCGGCUCAACUGGGAGAGGCCCGUCGCAACGGUGUGACUCGAGGGUGGUAGAGGCAGAUGGAAUUCCUGGUGUAGCGGUGAAAUGCGUAGAGAUCAGGAGGAACACCCGUGGCGAAGGCGGUCUGCUGGGCCACACCUGACGCUGAGGAGCGAAAGCUAGGGGAGCGAACGGGAUUAGAUACCCCGGUAGUCCUAGCUGUAAACGAUGGAUACUAGGUGUCAGCGGUAUCGACCCCGCUGGUGCCGUAGCUAACGCGAUAAGUAUCCCGCCUGGGGAGUACGGCCGCAAGGUUGAAACUUAAAGGAAUUGGCGGGGGA